GUAUCCUGAGAGGCGCGUGCUUGUCUCCGUCUGCCUCUCCGGAUCCUUCCAUCGACUCGGCAUCUCACCUCUCCCUAGCUCGUCCCUGCUUCCUUGACAACUCGGUUGCUGUGGUAACACCAUGCACCGUGGGGAUACCUCUUUUGUUUUGUCCUGAUGUGUUUUCUGCCUUCCCUUUUUCUUUCCUGCCAUUUAUCACUGAUUCAUUAUCUCGCUCAAAGAAGUAUCUCUCCAGACACCACGCUGACCUGCACCUCCACAGAGUGUUUGGAGGUGAAGGUGAUCUCGGCGCUCACGUGGGCCACCUCGCCAAUGAACAUGGGGUACAGGAAAUCGGUGCGUUCCACUCGUGCCAGGGCGGCGACACAGCGGUCCUGCAAAUGACAAACAUUUGAAGCAGCCUUCUGUGACUAUUCAGGCGUUUUCAGAGAAAGCAGAACUCUAUUCUUCCAAUCAAGUUGAAGCAUUUAUUUUCGAAAAAUCAGUAUGCAUCCCCUCUGCAUCUCAGUUUUAUUCAUCAUGUUGUCUUAAAAUACAUGUUCUUGCAUCCAUUGGUUUGUUAUUGCCUUUUAAAUGAAAAUUGCUCACAAUUACUUCAUGUACAUAAAACUGAAACCAUGAUGUAUUAUACCCUCAAUAAGUACAAAUAAAACAUUUAGAACAUGAGUGAUAGAUCAUAUUAAAAUUCAUUCUAUUCGACUGAAAAAUAAUACCUUUUCAGACGUCUUUAACAAUAAGAUGCUAUGGAGGUGUGUGUGGGGGGGGGGAUACAGGAUUUUGGAUCAUGCUGAAUCAGAUGACAUGGGGGAAGGGUGUUGUUUGCUGUUCUACAAGUGCAUCAAGCUAAAACUGAAUGCAGCAGAUGUUAUACUACAAACGUAGACAUGUUUAGACUGAAAAUUAUUUUAUUCAGCAAACUCUGUGCAUGUACAAACAAUUUUUUAUGUUCUGGUUUUAGAUGUCCUGUAACAUUAUAUUUCCUGCUAUUGUUAUUUUGUAAUUUGUGUAUUUUUAAAUACCGGCAGCUGUGGUUGCCAGAAUUUCAUUGUAAAAAAAUACACUACAACACAUAAUGCAUUACAGUUGGUUGGCACAGAUUCUACUGUCAACAACUGCUUAAGAUAAAUAACUAAGUGAAUAAUAUUGAAAAACCAAUAAACAAAAAUAUCAUUGUCAGA